rnacentral:rRNA from 1 species
GUGAGGUAACGGCUCACCAAGGCAUCGACGGGUAGCCUGGUCUGAGAGGAUGAUCAGCCACACUGGAGAUGAGACACGGUCCAGACUCCUACGGGAGGCAGCAGUGGGGAAUAUUGCACAAUGGGCGCAAGCCUGAUGCAGCGAUGCCGCGUGCGGGAAGAAGGCCCUAGGGUUGUAAACCGCUUUCAGCAGGGAAAAAAAUGACGGUACCUGCAGAAGAAGGUGCGGCCAACUACGUGCCAGCAGCCGCGGUGACACGUAGGCACCAAGCGUUGUCCGGAUUUAUUGGGCGUAAAGAGCUCGUAGGCGGUUCGGUAAGUCGGGUGUGAAAACUCUGGGCUCAACCCAGAGACGCCACCCGAUACUGGUGUGACUUGAGUACGGUAGGGGAGUGGGAAUUCCUGGUGUAGCGGUGAAAUGCGCAGAUAUCAGGAGGAACACCAGUGGCGAAGGCGCCACUCUGGGCCGUAACUGACGCUGAGGAGCGAAAGCGUGGGUAGCAAACAGGAUUAGAUACCCUGGUAGUCCACGCCGUAAACGUUGGGCACUAGGUGUGGGUUUCAACCAACGAGAUCCGCGCCGUCGCUAACGCAUUAAGUG